CGGUUUAAUCGGACUCAACGCCGGGAAGCUCACCAGAUAAGACAGCUGAAUGAUAGUCGGGCUGAAGACUCUACUUGACUAGCUGAGAGGAGGUGCAUGGCCGUCGUCAGUUCGUACUGUGAAGCAUCCUGUUAAGUCAGGCAACGAGCGAGACCCACGCCAACAGUUGCCAGCUCGUCCUCCGGGAUGGUGGGGACACUGUUGGGACCGCUCUGCUAAAGAGGAGGAAGGAAUGGGCAACGGUAGGUCAGCAUGCCCCGAAUUAUCUGGGCUACACGCGGGCUACAAUGGGUGGGACAAUGGGUAUCGACACCGAAAGGUGAAGGCAAUCUCCUAAACCCAUCCGUAGUUCGGAUUGUGGGCUGCAACUCGCCCACAUGAAGCUGGAAUCUGUAGUAAUCGUGUCUCAAAAUGGCACGGUGAAUAUGUCCCUGCUCCUU
rnacentral:rRNA from 1 species